rnacentral:rRNA from 1 species
UACAGAGGGGGCAAGCGUUGUUCGGAAUUACUGGGCGUAAAGGGCGCGUAGGCGGCCUCUGCAAGUCGACUGUGAAAUCUCCGGGCUUAACCCGGAACGGUCAGCCGAUACUGCAGGGCUAGAGUGCAGAAGGGGCAACCGGAAUUCUCGGUGUAGCGGUGAAAUGCGUAGAUAUCGAGAGGAACACCUGCGGCGAAGGCGGGUUGCUGGGCUGACACUGACGCUGAGGCGCGAAAGCUAGGGGAGCGAACGGG